UGCAAAAUACUUUAUGUUUGGAUUUUGUUUAUUGUGACAAAUGAACCGCUAAUUUCAUACAUUGCAUAUAAAUUUUGAACUUUAAACUCAUAUGUUAAGUGUUGGUUAUGACCAAUGAUGAAGAACUUGCUUGAUGCUCCAUUGAUCUCCAAAAUACCAAGGAGGAUCUCGAAAAAUCAUUAGCGAAAGCUUCUGUUCAGCAAAGACAACUGAAUCCCGCCCUUAGGGUGGGUGAUCUU
rnacentral:lncRNA from 1 species